UACAUUCCUCACACAUUACAGACUGAACUAUGACUGGUAUGUAGUACUGUCUCUACUUGUUCUCUGGACUGGAGUUCACACAUUCUCACAAAUAACAGACUGAACUAUGACAGGUAGGUAGUACUGUCUCCACCUGUUCUCUGUACUGGAGUUCACACAUUCUCACAAAUAACAGACUCAACUAUGACAGGUAGGUAGUACUGUCUCCACCUGUUCUCUGGACUGGAGUUCACACUUACAUUCCUCACCCAUAACAGACUUAACUAUGACAGGUAGGUAGUACUGUCUCUACCUGUUCUCUGGACUAGAGUUCACACUUACAUUCCUCACACAUAACAGACUGAACUAUGACAGGUAGGUAGUACUGUCUCCACCUGUUCUCUGGACUGGAGUUCACACUUACAUUCUCACUAAUAACAGACUGAACUAUGAC